rnacentral:tRNA from 64 species
CGCGGGGUGGAGCAGUCUGGUAGCUCGUCGGGCUCAUAACCCGAAGGUCGUUGGUUCAAAUCCGGCCCCCGCAACCA